rnacentral:tRNA from 1 species
UGGGGCGUCGUCUAAAGGCAGGACAGGGGCCUUUGAAGCCUCGAAUCUAGGUUCGACUCCUAGCGCCCCAA